rnacentral:rRNA from 1 species
AGUGAACGCUGGCGGUAGGCCUAACACAUGCAAGUCGAACGGCAGCACAGUAAGAGCUUGCUCUUACGGGUGGCGAGUGGCGGACGGGUGAGGCAUACAUCGGAAUCUACUUUUUCGUGGGGGAUAACGUAGGGAAACUUACGCUAAUACCGCAUACGACCUACGGGUGAAAGCAGGGGAUCUUCGGACCUUGCGCGAUUGAAUGAGCCGAUGUCGGAUUAGCUAGUUGGCGGGGUAAAGGCCCACCAAGGCGACGAUCCGUAGCUGGUCUGAGAGGAUGAUCAGCCACACUGGAACUGAGACACGGUCCAGACUCCUACGGGAGGCAGCAGUGGGGAAUAUUGGACAAUGGGCGCAAGCCUGAUCCAGCCAUACCGCGUGGGUGAAGAAGGCCUUCGGGUUGUAAAGCCCUUUUGUUGGGAAAGAAAAGCAGCAGAUUAAUACCCCGCUGUUCUGACGGUACCCAAAGAAUAAGCACCGGCUAACUUCGUG